rnacentral:lncRNA from 1 species
AUGUGUGAUUGGCCUGGCAUUGAGCUGUUAGGAGAGGGAAAUGAGAUCACUUGUCAAGAAAUGUACAUUUUCUCAGAAGACCUUGAUGCCAUGGAAGCAGCAAGGCACAAAACCAUAAAUGACGGACGGCUGAAGCACAUGGGCUCAGAGCUUAAGUUUCCCGUAAAGGAAAGCACGCGGUGGGGCGUCAGUAACUUCAGAGUCCUCCCUGGCUCCUGGCUCCCUGGCUCCCUGGGUCCCUGGGUCCCUGGCUCCUGGCUCCUGGCUCCCUGGCUCCUGGGUCCCUGGCUCCCUGGCUCCUGGGUCCCUGGGUCCCUGGGUCCCUGGGUCCCUGGGUCCCUGGGUCCUGGCUCCCUGGCUCCCUGGCUCC